CUUUCUCUUGCUUCUCUUUUCAGGGGCGGAUCCAGAGGAGGGACCAGGGGGGGGGCACUGACCCCAGCUGAAAUCUCGUUAGCCUCCGAAGUGUCUGUGUCUUGUCGAGGCAGUUUUGUUCUCUCCACCAACUUCUUGUUUGUUGUGGGAACUGUUGUGGUUUUCUCAGUGUAUGUGUAACAGUGUAAGUUCUCCACCUCAUCUGACACUAAAUUCAAAUUGAAUUGAAGACUAGUUUCAUAUCGUUGAGUCUUUUCCCUUGUGACAAACAUUGAAAAGAGAUUUACCAUUACAAUGUGUCCCAUUGGAAGAAAAUCACUGUGUUAGGAACUUUAGCAAUUCCUUUGUGAAUAGGAGCCAUUAUCUAAAUACGAACCAUAAAGUGAUGAAGUGCACUCAGCCACACAGUGAAUUAUCUUGACCAGAGAUUAAGCCGAGUUGGCUCGAUGAAUAACUGACAGCCGCUUCAGCCAAUCAACAAACCGGUCAGCCAUAGCAACACUGUGCUGAUUGGUCAAAACGUAGACACGAGUAACCAAUGAGAUCACUGGAAACCCACAUUUUCCUAACUUAUCUCUAUAAAGAACAGACUCCAGCAGAAACUUUUAAAAAACACUUUAUGGCAGAGGCUCGUUUGGUCGCGUGAGAUGUUUUAAAUGCAUCUUGUUAAUUGAUGAGUAAGAAAGUCUCGACUGUGGAUUUAUCUGGAGUAAAACGUGACCAGCUUCAUUCACGUUUUCUCUGCUGGAAAAAACUUUAAAUCCCUCCAGUCUACACUGCCACCUGCUGUCAGUCUGCAGGUAGUUACCAGAUAUUUUACCAUACAAAGAAAACCUUCGUUUUAUCAAUAUUACAUAUUUCUAGGUGGUUAUACAUACACACAACUUAUAUAACCUUUUCUUUUUUAUUGAUAAAAAAAGCACAUUUUCAACCACUUGUGACAUUGGACAGGCCACACGUCCACACACUGGUCCUGUCAAACUCAACAAAUUCAAACACCACAAUUUGUCAGAUAUUGAUUUCAUGCAAAAACAAAUCCACACACAAUGCUGCACAGGUAUUGUAUUACAAUACUAGAGUGUAAUAAUUUGUGUAAGAUCUGAAAUUUGAUUGGUUUAUCACAAGUCUUUCUCCAUUGGAAAAAUUAUAGUGAUGUAAAGUCGUUCUUGAUAUACAAAGUGUAAAUAUCAGAAAUCAGAUUUACACCUGUGCAGAUCUCAUUUCAAUAUCAAAUGAACAGCAGGGUGAAGUAAUUAAAACUCCAACACAGUUUUGACAGUACAAUACCAAACAAUACACAAUACAUUCAAACAAUACUACAUUCAUUAUGGAGCCUCACUGCAGGGUCACAGGUUUGAAAACCAGAGCAUCAGUAGUGUGGUUAUAAAAAUCUUUACUCAUUCAAACUGUGUCACAGCGAGGUGUUGUUGUCUUUGUCUUUCGAUCAAUUUGAAUUUCACACAGCCGUCAUUAAACAUGUAAAAACCCAUAAAUUAAACAUGUUUCUUAAAUAUGAUUGACUGCUGUUGAUGAUCAUAUUAACAAAGGUGAAAGAGGUAUAACUCAAUAACAUAAGUAAGAUCAAGUCCUUUUUUUGUGCUAAAUUUCUCUCUCAGAUCCAUUAAUGGAGAAUGAAACCUCACUUCAAUUUGAUUUUGAAACGCGAAACUACACACAAAUAUACAACCAUGUAUCCAUUCAACCUUUCAUCUUAACAAAUAUCAUAUAAAACAGACGUUUUUAGAGACAAAUCCACGGUUCUAUUGCAUUUGUUCAAAUGUACUGUAAAUGUUGAGCAGUAGCCCGUAUUAAUGAUGUUUUGUCUGAAUCUGGCACAUAUGCACACAUCUGGACGAGUAGCGUGUCACACUGGCUUAGAUCAGCAUGUGACAGAUUGUAAAAAAAUAAAAAAUAAAUUGACAUUACAUUUCAAAAUCAAGGUGCAUCUGCUGGUGAUUCUACUAGAGCAAUAUGCCAUGCAGUAAUACUGCAAACUCUAAUUUACUGGAUGGCUCUAAACAAAGCUUUAAUUAAAUCUUUACAACAGUAAAACAAAUUCAAUAUUUUCAAGUUAAAAGCCAUAUUCAAGACUGAUAAGACUUGGAAACGGCAUAUUUCAAUGGCCAUUAUAACCUCUUUUAUAGAUACACAUACAAUACAGAUUAGAGUCUAGUGGAUUAGUCAGGUAGAGUCUGGCAGGUCACU